CGACAAUUUAAAAAGGAGCUGGGAAGUCACCUGGGCUAUACUUCAAAAUAAGUGCAUGCUGGAGAGGACUACAAAGGGGAAUAUACAAUAGAUAUAAUUUUUGCCCAAACCUGGUUUGACAGUCGUUUAAAAUUCAAUAGUACCAUGAAAGUGCUUAUGCUUAACAGUAAUAUGGUUGGAAAAAUUUGGAUUCCUGACACUUUCUUCAGAAACUCAAGAAAAUCUGAUGCUCACUGGAUAACAACUCCUAAUCGUCUGCUUCGAAUUUGGAAUGAUGGACGAGUUCUGUAUACUCUAAGAUUGACAAUUAAUGCAGAAUGUUA
rnacentral:lncRNA from 1 species